UACAGAGGUCUCAAGCGUUGUUCGGAUUCAUUGGGCGUAAAGGGUGCGUAGGUGGCGGGGUAAGUCAGGUGUGAAAUCCCGAGGCUCAACCUCGAAACUGCACUUGAUACUGCCUUGCUCGAGUACUGGAGAGGAGAUUGGAAUUUACGGUGUAGCAGUGAAAUGCGUAGAGAUCGUAAGGAAGGCCAGUGGCGAAGGCGAGUCUCUGGACAGUAACUGACGCUGGGGCACGAAGGCCAGGGGAGCAAACGGG
rnacentral:rRNA from 1 species